GGACCUUUGAAGGACCAUAUCUAUCUUCACCUCAAUCACUUACCUCCAGAGGUUCUUAAGGAGAGACUUCCGGGUAUCUCUGAAACAGCUGCCAUUUUCGCUGGUGUUGAUGUAACUAAGGAACCAAUUCCUGUUUUACCUACCGUGCAUUAUAAUAUGGGAGGAAUCCCAACUAAUUACCAUGGACAGGUGGUCACUAAAAACGGGGAUGAUCCAGAUGCUGUGAUCCCUGGACUGAUGGCUGCUGGUGAAGCAGCAUGCGCAUCUGUUCAUGGUGCCAAUCGUCUUGGUGCAAAUUCUCUUCUAGAUAUUGUUGUUUUUGGACGGGCAUGUGCUAAUAGGGUUGCAGAGAUCCAAAAACCAGGCGCGGAACAAAAGCCACUUGAAAAAGAUGCUGGGGAGAGGACCAUUGCAUGGUUGGACAAGAUUAGGAACUCAAAUGGUUCAUUGCCCACCUCAAAGAUAAGGCUGGACAUGCAAAGAGUUAUGCAAAACAAUGCUGCUGUCUUCCGCACACAAGAGACAUUAGAGGAAGGUUGCCAGCUCAUUGACAAAACAUGGGAGAGUUUCCAUGAUGUUCAGUUGAAGGACAGAGGUUUAAUAUGGAACACAGAUCUUAUAGAGACUAUUGAGUUGGAAAAUCUUUUAAUUAAUGCAUGCAUCACCAUGCACUCAGCCGAGGCAAGAAAAGAAAGCAGAGGAGCUCAUGCUCGUGAAGAUUUUACGAAAAGAGAUGAUGAGAAGUGGAUGAAACACACCAUAGGAUAUUGGGAGGACGAGAAAGUUCGGCUAGAAUACAGACCAGUGCAUAUGAACACUCUAGAUGACGAAGUCGAGUCGUUCCCACCAAAGGCUCGUGUCUACUGAUAUACUCAUUUAUAGGGGGAUUUGGAUGGCGUAGAAGUUGAUAAUAAGGAAGGUUGCAAUAAAUCGCGAAAAUUGUGAAAUUUUGGUAAUAACUGUUUGAUUUAUUUGUGCGAUGAAUUGUAAGCAGCCUGUGAAGUGUUCAUAAAUAUUAGAAGCAGAACACCGUUUGUCUUGUAAUCAGGAAGCAAGGCUUCCUGACUUUUCGAUCUUGUAGAAGAUGAUGGAAUCACUUGUUUAUGCUCUUAUAUACUCUACUUCUUGCAUUUUGACACGAUUGAAGACAUUAUCUCAUUACCCUGGUUUUUUCAUUUUCUAGAAAAACUAAGCAAGCCACAGAACCAUGUGAUUUAUGCAUCUCACUAGACACGAAUGUCUGUUGAUGUUUAUUCCGACUUGGUGAACCUUUUAUUGAUCUUC
rnacentral:misc_RNA from 1 species